GACGAAGGGGGCUAGCGUUGUUCGGAAUUACUGGGCGUAAAGCGUGCGCAGGCGGUUGUGCAAGACAGAUGUGAAAUCCCCGGGCUCAACCUGGGAACUGCAUUUGUGACUGCAUCGCUGGAGUGCGGCAGAGGGGGAUGGAAUUCCGCGUGUAGCAGUGAAAUGCGUAGAUAUGCGGAGGAACACCGAUGGCGAAGGCAAUCCCCUGGGCCUGCACUGACGCUCAUGCACGAAAGCGUGGGGAGCAAACAGG
rnacentral:rRNA from 1 species